rnacentral:rRNA from 4 species
CUGGAGGUAUCAGAAGUGCGAAUGCUGACAUAAGUAACGAUAAAGCGGGUGAAAAGCCCGCUCGCCGGAAGACCAAGGGUUCCUGUCCAACGUUAAUCGGGGCAGGGUGAGUCGACCCCUAAGGCGAGGCCGAAAGGCGUAGUCGAUGGGAAACGGGUUAAUAUUCCCGUACUUGGUGUUACUGCGAAGGGGGGACGGAGAAGGCUAUGUUGGCCGGGCGACGGUUGUCCCGGUUUAAGCGUGUAGGUGUGUGUUCCAGGUAAAUCCGGUUCACUUUAACACUGAGGCGUGAUGACGAGGCACUACGGUGCUGAAGCAACAAAUGCCCUGCUUCCAGGAAAAGCCUCUAAGCAUCAGGUAACAUCAAAUCGUACCCCAAACCGACACAGGUGGUCAGGUAGAGAAUACCAAGGCGCUUGAGAGAACUCGGGUGAAGGAACUAGGCAAAAUGGUGCCGUAACUUCGGGAGAAGGCACGCUGACACGUAGGUGAAGUGAUUUACUCAUGGAGCUGAAGUCAGUCGAAGAUACCAGCUGGCUGCAACUGUUUAUUAAAAACACAGCACUGUGCAAACACGAAAGUGGACGUAUACGGUGUGACGCCUGCCCGGUGCCGGAAGGUUAAUUGAUGGGGUCAGCGCAAGCGAAGCUCCUGAUCGAAGCCCCGGUAAACGGCGGCCGUAACUAUAACGGUCCUAAGGUAGCGAAAUUCCUUGUCGGGUAAGUUCCGACCUGCACGAAUGGCGUAAUGAUGGCCAGGCUGUCUCCACCCGAGACUCAGUGAAAUUGAACUCGCUGUGAAGAUGCAGUGUACCCGCGGCAAGACGGAAAGACCCCGUGAACCUUUACUAUAGCUUGACACUGAACAUUGAGCCUUGAUGUGUAGGAUAGGUGGGAGGCUUUGAAGUGUGGACGCCAGUCUGCAUGGAGCCGGCCUUGAAAUACCACCCUUUAAUGUUUGAUGUUCUAACGUGGACCCGUGAUCCGGGUUGCGGACAGUGUCUGGUGGGUAGUUUGACUGGGGCGGUCUCCUCCUAAAGAGUAACGGAGGAGCACGAAGGUUGGCUAAUCCUGGUCGGACAUCAGGAGGUUAGUGCAAUGGCAUAAGCCAGCUUGACUGCGAGCGUGACGGCGCGAGCAGGUGCGAAAGCAGGUCAUAGUGAUCCGGUGGUUCUGAAUGGAAGGGCCAUCGCUCAACGGAUAAAAGGUACUCCGGGGAUAACAGGCUGAUACCGCCCAAGAGUUCAUAUCGACGGCGGUGUUUGGCACCUCGAUGUCGGCUCAUCACAUCCUGGGGCUGAAGUAGGUCCCAAGGGUAUGGCUGUUCGCCAUUUAAAGUGGUACGCGAGCUGGGUUUAGAACGUCGUGAGACAGUUCGGUCCCUAUCUGCCGUGGGCGCUGGAGAACUGAGGGGGGCUGCUCCUAGUACGAGAGGACCGGAGUGGACGCAUCACUGGUGUUCGGGUUGUCAUGCCAAUGGCACUGCCCGGUAGCUAAAUGCGGAAGAGAUAAGUGCUGAAAGCAUCUAAGCACGAAACUUGCCCCGAGAUGAGUUCUCCCUGAGACUUAGAGUCUCCUGAAGGAACGUUGAAGACGACGACGUUGAUAGGCCGGGUGUGUAAGCGCAGCGAUGCGUUGAGCUAACCGGUACUAAUGAACCGUGAGGCUUAACCUUACA